CAUUACGGGUACACGAGCGGCGAACGGGUGAGUAACACGUGGGUGAUCUGCCCUGCCUCUGGGAUAAGCUUGGGAAACUGGGUCUAAUACCGGAUAUGACCACAGCAUGCAUGUGUUGUGGUGGAAAGAUUUAUCGGUGCAGGAUGGGCCCGCGGCCUAUCAGCUUGUUGGUGGGGUAAUGGCCUACCAAGGCGACGACGGGUAGCCGACCUGAGAGGGUGACCGGCCACACUGGGACUGAAACACGGCCCAGACUCCUACGGGAGGCAGCAGUGGGGAAUAUUGCACAAUGGGCGGAAGCCUGAUGCAGCGACGCCGCGUGAGGGAUGAAUGCCUUCGGGUUGUAAACCUCUUUCAGCAGGGACGAAGCGUGAGUGACGGUACCUGCAAAAAAAGC
rnacentral:rRNA from 1 species